AGAAACAACCUAUCGGCUUCAAUUUUCCUGAUCCGUCAUGUGUUGGAAAAUAAGCUGAGUCGAGCCAAGUUAGUACUUUGAUGAGAAACUUUGUGGAAGGCUGGGUGUUGUA
rnacentral:rRNA from 1 species